rnacentral:rRNA from 1 species
UCAGGGUGAACGCUAGCGGCAGGCUAACACAUGCAAGUCGAGGGCAUCGGGAGUAGCAAUACUGCCGGCGACCGGCGCAAGGUGCGUAACGCGUGAGCAACAUGCCCGUAUCAGGGGGAUAAUCCAUGGAAACGUGGUCUAAUACCCCAUAGUAAUUAUGUAAGGCAUCUUAUAUAAUUUAAAGCUUUGGUGGAUACGGAUUGGCUCGCGUGACAUUAGCUAGAUGGUAAGGUAACGGCUUACCAUGGCUACGAUGUCUAGGGGUUCUGAGAGGAAGGUCCCCCACACUGGAACUGAGACACGGUCCAGACUCCUACGGGAGGCAGCAGUGAGGAAUAUUGGACAAUGGAUGGAAAUCUGAUCCAGCCAUGCCGCGUGCCAGGAAGACGGCCCUAUGGGUUGUAAACUGCUUUUGUAUGGGAGCAAUAAGGGCUACGUGUAGUCCGAUGAGAGUACCAUACGAAUAAGCACCGGCUAACUCCGUGCCAGCCGCUGC